rnacentral:rRNA from 1 species
CCUACGGGCGGCAGCAGUGGGGAAUAUUGGGCAAUGGGCGAAAGCCUGACCCAGCAACGCCGCGUGAAGGAAGAAGGCUUUCGGGUUGUAAACUUCUUUUGACAGGGAAGAGCAGAAGACGGUACCUGUCGAAUAAGCCACGGCUAACUACGUGCCAGCAGCCGCGGUAAUACGUAGGUGGCAAGCGUUGUCCGGAUUUACUGGGUGUAAAGGGAGCGUAGACGGCGACGCAAGUCUGGAGUGAAAGCCCGGGGCCCAACCCCGGGACUGCUCUGGAAACUGCGGCGCUGGAGUACGGGAGGGGCAGGCGGAAUUCCUGGUGUAGCGGUGAAAUGCGUAGAUAUCAGGAGGAACACCGGCGGCGAAGGCGGCCUGCUGGACCGUGACUGACGUUGAGGCUCGAGAGCGUGGGGAGCAAACAGGAUUAGAUACCCCUGUAGUC